rnacentral:rRNA from 1 species
UACAGAGGGUGCAAGCGUUAAUCGGAAUUACUGGGCGUAAAGCGCACGUAGGUGGCUGGGUAAGUUGGAUGUGAAAUCCCCGGGCUUAACUUGGGAAUUGCAUUCAAGACUGCCUUGCUAGAGUGUGGAAGAGGGAAGCGAAAUUCCAGGUGUAGCGGUGAGAUGCGUAGAUAUCUGGAGGAACAUCAGUGGCGAAGGCGGCUUCCUGGUCCAACACUGACACUGAGGUGCGAAAGCGUGGGGAGCAAACAGG